rnacentral:rRNA from 1 species
GACGAACGCUGGCGGCGUGCUUAACACAUGCAAGUCGAACGGAAAGGCCUUUUCGGAGGUACUCGAGUGGCGAACGGGUGAGUAACACGUGGGUGAUCUGCCCUGCACUCUGGGAUAAGCCUGGGAAACUGGGUCUAAUACCGGAUAGGACCGCACUUUAGUGUGUGUGGUGGAAAGUUUUUUCGGUGUAGGAUGAGCCCGCGGCCUAUCAGCUUGUUGGUGGGGUAAUGGCCUACCAAGGCGGCGACGGGUAGCCGGACUGAGAGGUUGGUCGGCCACAUUGGGACUGAGAUACGGCCCAGACUCCUACGGGAGGCAGCAGUGGCUAAUAUUGCACAAUGGGCGCAAGCCUGAUGCAGCGACGCCGCGUGGGGGAUGACGGCCUUCGGGUUGUAAACUCCUUUCGCCAGGGACGAAGCGUUUUGUGACGGUACCUGGAGAAGAAGCACCGGCUAACUACGUG